rnacentral:rRNA from 1 species
CUAUACAUGCAAGUCGAGCGGACCGACGGGAGCUUGCUCCCUUAGGUCAGCGGCGGACGGGUGAGUAACACGUGGGUAACCUGCCUGUAAGACUGGGAUAACUCCGGGAAACCGGGGCUAAUACCGGAUGCUUGAUUGAACCGCAUGGUUCAAUYAUAAAAGGUGGCUUUYAGCUACCACUURCAGAUGGACCCGCGGCGCAUUAGCUAGUUGGUGAGGUAACGGCUCACCAAGGCGACGAUGCGUAGCCGACCUGAGAGGGUGAUCGGCCACACUGGGACUGAGACACGGCCCAGACUCCUACGGGAGGCAGCAGUAGGGAAUCUUCCGCAAUGGACGAAAGUCUGACGGAGCAACGCCGCGUGAGUGAUGAAGGUUUUCGGAUCGUAAAACUCUGUUGUUAGGGAAGAACAAGUACCGUUCGAAUAGGGCGGYACCUUGACGGUACCUAACCAGAAAGCCACGGCUAACUACGUGCCAGCAGCCGCGGUAAUACGUAGGUGGCAAGCGUUGUCCGGAAUUAUUGGGCGUAAAGCGCGCGCAGGCGGUUUCUUAAGUCUGAUGUGAAAGCCCCCGGCUCAACCGGGGAGGGUCAUUGGAAACUGGGGAACUUGAGUGCAGAAGAGGAGAGUGGAAUUCCACGUGUAGCGG